rnacentral:lncRNA from 1 species
UUUCCCUUUCCCUAUGAAAUCUAUAACCUUAACCUUAUAACCUUAACGGCCACCGUUUAACCUUAUAACCUUAACGGCCACCAUUUAACCUUAUAACCUUAACGACCACCGUUUAACCUUAUAAUCUUAUAACCUUAACUGCCACCGUUUAAACUUAUAACCUUAAUGACCACCGUUUAACCUUAUAAGGUUAACGACCACCAUUUAACUUUAUAACCUUACGGCCACCGUUUAAACUUAUAAACUUAUAAGGCGAACGGCCACCGUUUAACCUUAUAACCUUAAUGGCCACUGUUUAACCUUAUAACCUCAUAAGGUUAACAACCACCAUUUAACCUUAUAACCUUAACAGCCACCGUUUAACCUUAUAACCUUAACUGCCACCGUUUAACCCUAUAACCUUAACGGCCACCGUUUAACCUUAUAACCUUAUAACCUUCUCUUGAGUAGUACUAGAGAGUUUAACGGCCACCGUUUAAACCUUCACUGCCUCGAUCUUUUUAUUAAGAACUUAUUCAUAAAUAU